CUCAUCCGCGAGUUGACGUAGAUCCCCUAAAUUUGUGGCUGGGCCAUUUUGUGUCUCGCUCACGAUUUUAGAGCCUUGACAUUUUACGGCGCGUCUGUUAAACGCUGCGCAUAAACGUAAACUGUCAAAAGCCGCCUGAUUUGGAUUCUUCUCCUUAUUUGAAACCUGACACCGCUGAUGUUUCAGCGCCCAUGUCCUCCCGUAGGUUGUGCGCUGCGGAGUGAUAUUCCAUUGGAACCGACAAUGUGGAGGCUGUGAAAAUGUCUACUUGGGAAAAGAAAUGAUUGCAGUUUCUCCAAGUGAAAGGAAACAGAGUACCGCAAGAGUUAUGGUCCGCGUUAAAGACGCGAGGUCGGCUUCAUAGCGAAGACAAACAACGAGGCGAGACAACAAAGGAGCGUUUUAUAUUGUCUUUCCUGCGCUUCAUCAAGCCCACGGACCGGGACCACAGGAGAAGGAUUCUAUCCCUAACUUUGUUUUUCCUCUCUUAUAUAUUGCCGUAUCACUACUCGCUGCUGGAUGCUACACUGCUGACUCCAGUCUGUAGCUGAGACUGUAAAGGCCCAGUGAACAGCAUCAGAGAAUGGCUACAGUGGAAAACGACAAGGAGCUGAGCGACUUGCUGGAUUUUAGUGCGAUGUUUGAACCUCCAGUUUCGAAUGGAAAGAAUGGGCCGACUACUCUCGCCAGCAGCCAGUUUGGAGGUCCCGGUAAGAGAUAAUACACAAAAGAGACGGUUU